UGUGUGUGUGUGUGUGCGUGUGAGAGAGAGAUUAGAGGGCGGGGAGGGGAGAAGAGAGGAAGCAAGCUAACCGGAGAGAGAGCAGCUUGAGCUGAGCUUUCACUCACCGUCCACCACUGCUGUUUGCUGCCAUCGCAGACUUGCCACUGACUUCCACCCCUCCAGAUCCAGCAGGGUGUCUGCUGCUCUCCUGAUCCAGCGAGGUGCUCAUUGCCACUCCUGAUCGGGCUAAAGGCUCUCUAUCGUUCCUGCACAGCUAAGUGCCCGGGUUUGUCCUAAUUGAGCUGAACACUAGUCUCUCGGUUCCAUGGUUCUCUUCCGUGACCCAUGGCUUCUAAUAGAGCUAUAACACUCACUGCAUGGCCCAAGGUUCCAUUCCUUGGAAUCCAUGAGUCCAAGAACCCCAGGUCAGAGAACAAAAGGCUUGCUGCCAUCUUGGGAGUGGCCCGCCACAUCUUGGGAGAGCUAAGAACAAAGACCUGCCCGUAACAUUUGGUGGUAACCGUAUGGGAAUUCUCCAAAGCAAUCAUUGUCAACAUUUUACAUGGUGCCGAGAUGUAUAAAGUUUAAAGUGAGGCUGGGCGCAGUGGCUCAUGCCUGUAAUCCCAGCACUUUGGGAGGCUGAGGCAGCCGGAUCAUUUGAGGUGAGGAGUUCGAGACCAGCCUGACCACAUGGUGAAACCCUGUCUCUACUAAAAAUACAAAAAUUAGCUGGGUGU
rnacentral:lncRNA from 1 species